rnacentral:snRNA from 1 species
GGAUAUGACGGGUGAUCAACUGCAACAAAUAUCACGUCAUUGAUCACCAAGAUUGAUUUAGUUUAUCUGACUGGCUUGGUGGGUGUCCCCUUCUUCCCGGACCUCCCACCCCUGUGUGCAUCCCUUUUGAAGUUACACCCUAAGUCGAAGAGGACAGUUUUCCUUGAAUAGAGACUGACUGAUUUUUUGGUAGAGGGUUUAGGAGUAACUAUGCUUUCCUUCUAGAAUCUUCAAACAAGCUCUCAGAUGAUUUUUGGUAUCAACAUCAUGAAAAUCAUCAUGAAGAAAAAUGUGUAGAGCUUUGCAAGGAAUGUAAACCCGGACAAAUAAAGGUUU